UGUAUAUAUUUUUCAGAAUUGUAUUAGAAACGAUACGCUAUUCCUUAAUAAUAAUAUACAUGAAAAUAUUGACAACACCUAUGACUAUGUUUUAAGAAUUGUUUUCAUUGCCUGCAUGUCAGUAAACAUUUAUACACAGUCGCAGUGCAAUAUCACAAAAAUAAUUGCAUUGCUCUUACCCAAUCAGAAUUAGUUGGGGUUUUUUUCAUGUAUAUUAUCAUUGUAGCGAAACUUUUAUUGAGUUAAGAUGUACUGUAUUAUAGGAAAACAUUUAAUAUUAUAUACUGUAUUUGUAUUUUAUUACAUUAUAGACAAAUCAUUAUUACUUGACAACUUGAAGAGUGUAAAUAGGU